GUCUCCGUAGCUCAGCGGAAAGAGCACCAGACUACGAAUCUGGGGGUCGGGAGUUCAAAUCUCUCCGGGGACGC
rnacentral:tRNA from 2 species